CACCGAGGAGGGCACCGCGAUGGAGGCCUGAAUCUCCGCUCCUGGGAACAUGGGCCACGUGAGGCGUGUAGUAAAACCCUGGAAUUCUAACCACUUGUACGCUUGCCCACGAGCUACUAUGGCACCAUCAUUAAGAAGAUGAACGGAUGAUCCUGAGGAAAAGGCUCACGGAUUAUUGACCAAAACAAUCGUGUUGCUGGUCUCUAGCACUUUGUCACCUUUGGCCCCAUCCUCAUUGGUGUCUGAUUGUGGCCACUUUCCGGCACAGGAUCAUGACGCGCUGUCAAUGCGAGCCCUAGCAGAGUGUCUGAAAGGUGCACCAGCUACCCAUGGCUUUCUUCUGCACCGACAAAGAUACUGGAACCUGGAAAUGCCGUGAGCCACAAUGGACUGUUUUACAAUGAAAGAAUAAUUUGGAUCAAAUUAUCUGAGAAUUUCUUUCACGACGAUGGGGAUGAUGAUGAUGGUGAUGGUAAUGGUGAUGAUGGUAAUGAUGGUGAUGGCAAUGGUAGUUACCCUUCUGGAGCACGUACUCUGAGCCAGGCACUGUUGUAAGUACCUUACACACUUUAAUUCACUUAAUCCCCACGACACCGCUGUGAGCUUUUGAGAACGGAAGGUGAUAAUUCAUAUGGAACUGGGUGAAUAGCCUGAGAACUUCCGUCUGCCGGUGCAACCUGGAUGCGUGUUGUCUCAUCAGGGAAACUUUGAAAAAAAUGUAGGUGCCUGAGCCCAACCCCUGGCGGUUCCAAAGGAAUUGAUCUUGGGUGGGACCUUGGCAUUGGUAUUUAUUUUUGAAAGCACCUAGUUGAUUUUUCGCACUGCCAAAGUUGAGACUACUGCUCUGGAGUUGGUCUUUCACUCAGUGAUUGUGCGUCUCAGGGAGAUCACUUGCCUCUCUGAGCAUCAUCUGGAAAAUAGAAACAAUAACUGCCUUUCCUAACUCGCAUGUCAGGUGUGUUUUGAGAAAGCAAUAAAUUAUCGUUUGCUAAUGUCCUUAAAAAAACG
rnacentral:lncRNA from 1 species